rnacentral:rRNA from 1 species
AUUGAACGCUGGCGGCAGGCCUAACACAUGCAAGUCGAACGAGUGGCGGACGGGUGAGUAAUGUCUGGGAAACUGCCCGAUGGAGGGGGAUAACUAAUGGAAACGGUAGCUAAUACCGCAUACCAUCGAAUGUGCCCAGAUGGGAUUAGCUAGUAGGUGGGGGAACGGCUCACCUAGGCGACGAUCCAUAGCUGGUCUGAGAGGAUGACCAGCCACACUGGAACUGAGACACGGUCCAGACUCCUACGGGAGGGAGCAGUGGGGAAUAUUGGAAAAGGGGCGCAAGCCUGAUGCAGCCAUGCCGCGUGUAUGAAGAAGGCCUGCGGGUUGUAAAGUACUUUCAGCGGGGAGGCGUUACCCGCAGAAGAAGCACAGGCUAACUCCGUGCCAGCAGCCGCGGUAAUAC